rnacentral:misc_RNA from 1 species
GAUGAAGAACGUAGCGAAAUGCGAUACGUAAUGUGAGUUGCAGAAUUCAGUGAAUCAUCGAAUCUUUGAACGCAUAUUGCGCUCUCUGGUAUUCCGGAGAGCAUGCUUGUUUGAGUAUCAGUAAACACCUCAACUCCCUUUUCUUUUUUGAAAUUGGAGCUGGACUUGAGUGAUCCCAACGCUUUCUUCCAAGAAAGUGGCGGGUUGCUUGAAAUGCAGGUGCAGCUGAACUUUUCUCUGAGCUAUAAGCAUAUCUAUUUAGUCUGCCUAAAAAACAGAUUAUUACCUUUGCUGCAGCUAACAUAAAGGAGACUAGUUCUUGUGCUGACUGAUGCAGGAUUCACAGAGACAGCUUCGGCUGACUUUGUAAACUCGAUCUCAAAUCAAGUAAGACUACCCGCUGAACUUAAGCAUAUCAAUAAGCGGAGGA